GGGUAUAGCUCAAUGGUAGAGUGUGUGCUUAGCAUGCAUGAGGUCCUGGGUUCAGUCCCCAGUAUAUCCA
rnacentral:tRNA from 1 species